UGUUCCAGUACAUCUUCUCCCUGCUGAACGGACUGCAGGGGAUGCUGGUUCUCAUCUUCCACUGCUUACUCAAUGAAGACGUGAUGACAUCGUGGAAGAAGAAAAUUGGUCUCCGCCAAAGUAAAGUCCACACAUCGGAAGUGAAGGUCACUACACCGACACAAGAUG